rnacentral:rRNA from 1 species
CCUACGGGUGGCUGCAGUGAGGAAUAUUGGUCAAUGGACGAGAGUCUGAACCAGCCAAGUAGCGUGAAGGAUGACUGCCCUAUGGGUUGUAAACUUCUUUUAUAUGGGAAUAAAACGUUCCACGUGUGGGAUUUUGUAUGUACCAUAUGAAUAAGGAUCGGCUAACUCCGUGCCAGCAGCCGCGGUAAUACGGAGGAUCCGAGCGUUAUCCGGAUUUAUUGGGUUUAAAGGGAGCGUAGGGGGGUUGUUAAGUCAGUUGUGAAAGUUUGCGGCUCAACCGUAAAAUUGCAGUUGAAACUGGCAGUCUUGAGUACAGUAGAGGUGGGCGGAAUGCGUGGUGUAGCGGUGAAAUGCUUAGAUAUCACGAAGAACUCCGAUUGCGAAGGCAGUUCACUGGACUGCAACUGACACUGAGGCUCGAAAGUGUGGGUAUCAAACAGGAUUAGAUACCCUUGUAGUC